rnacentral:rRNA from 1 species
GACGAACGCUGGCGGCGUGCUUAACACAUGCAAGUCGAACGGAAAGGCCCUGCUUUUGUGGGGUGCUCGAGUGGCGAUCGGGUGAGUAACACGUGAGUAACCUGCCCUUGACUUUGGGAUAACUUCAGGUAACUGGGGCUAAUACCGGAUAGGAGCUCCUGCUGCAUGGUGGGGGUUGGAAAGUCUCGGCGGUUGGGGAUGGACUCGCGGCUUAUCAGCUUGUUGGUGGGGUAGUGGCUUACCAAGGCUUUGACGGGUAGCCGGCCUGAGAGGGUGACCGGCCACAUUGGGACUGAGAUACGGCCCAGACUCCUACGGGAGGCAGCAGUGGGGAAUAUUGCACAAUGGGCGGAAGCCUGAUGCAGCAACGCCGCGUGCGGGAUGACGGCCUUCGGGUUGUAAACCGCUUUCGCCUGUGACGAAGCGUGAGUGACGGUAAUGGGUAAAGAAGCACCGGCUAACUACGUG